GUUUGGGUUCAUUUGAUAGGAGGUUCUUAGUGCGGAGCCUCCUCUACGUUUGGGUUCAUUUGAUAGGAGGUUCUCAGUGCGGAGCCUCCUCUACGUUUGGG